rnacentral:rRNA from 1 species
AUACGGAAGGUCCGGGCGUUAUCCGGAUUUAUUGGGUUUAAAGGGAGCGUAGGCGGGAGAUCAAGUCAGCUGUGAAAUGUAGAUGCUCAACAUCUGCACUGCAGUUGAAACUGGUUUUCUUGAGUGCGUAAGGGGCAGGCGGAAUUCGUCGUGUAGCGGUGAAAUGCUUAGAUAUGACGAAGAACUCCGAUCGCGAAGGCAGCCUGCCGGGCCGCGACUGACGCUGAAGCUCGAAGGUGCGGGUAUCGAACAGGAUUAGAUACCCUGGUAGUCCGCACAGUAAACGAUGGAUACUCGCUGUCGGCGAUAUACGGUCGGUGGCCAAGCGAAAGCGUUAAGUAUCCCACCUGGGGAGUACGCCGGCAACGGUGAAACUCAAAGGAAUUGACGGGG